rnacentral:rRNA from 1 species
GACGAACGCUGGCGGCGUGCUUAACACAUGCAAGUCGUACGGUAAGGCCCUUUCGGGGGUACACGAGUGGCGAACGGGUGCGUAACACGUGAGUAACCUGCCCACAACUUUGGGAUAACGCUAGGAAACUGGUGCUAAUACUGGAUAUGUGCUCCUGCUGCAUGGUGGGGGUUGGAAAGCUCCGGCGGUUGUGGAUGGACUCGCGGCCUAUCAGCUUGUUGGUGGGGUAGUGGCCUACCAAGGCGGCGACGGGUAGCCGGCCUGAGAGGGUGACCGGCCACAUUGGGACUGAGAUACGGCCCAGACUCCUACGGGAGGCAGCAGUGGGGAAUAUUGCACAAUGGGCGCAAGCCGGAUGCAGCAACGCCGCGGGCGGGAUGGCGGCCUUCGGGUUGUAAACCGCUUUCAGCAGGGACGAAGCUUUUUGUGACGGUACCUGCAGAAGAAGCACCGGCUAACUACGUG